rnacentral:lncRNA from 1 species
GGGUCCAUGAAUCGACUCAUCAAGUGAUUCUAUAAAGUUAAGAAUCUGUUGGAGUAACUGCCAAUGAGUCACGAACCAAAAGAAGUUCUUGGGCACCUUUAAUGAUGACUGUUGUUGUCAAUGUUGAUGAAAAAAAGCAAUAAAGCAGAAGGAUGUCCCUGAAGAGUGAGAAGAAACAGCCUCCACAAUUUAAAUGGAAUCAUUCUUUAUUUUCCUUCCCCAGUAAGCAACCUCAACAGCAUCUGCUUCUGCCUGCCAGAUGGCCAAGCCAGCUGAGAGCACACUCCUCUCUAUACUCUAGGCACCAGGUAAAUAUGUAGGUAGCCAAGCUUCUCUAGACAGUACUGAUGAAGACCAGCCCAUAGUCUUCCCAGGUCCUUUGGUUAAAAGGCAUUACCUGAUUGCCUGAGGUACCAGUGGUCUUUGCUUAGGAUGCCAAGCCUCCAAAAGGAAGGAGAUUGAUGCUGCCUUCCACCUCAGCCUACAGGUGAGAAUUCAGAUCAUUACUCGAGAGUCAGAUCAUAACCCUGUAGACAAGCUGCCUUUCUCCUAAAAUGACUUGAAAAGUAGGAAACAAGCCUUGAGUCCAGCAGUGGAAUGGUGUAGCCUUGACCUAACCUUUAGCUUCACGGUCUUGAAUCGCACAGCCUAACUUCGAAAUGUUGACUUGGUUGCAUUCGGCAAGAUUAACGACCCUGCCCAACUACUGUCUCCUCAGGAAGAUCCUUCCCCUCCUCCAUGUGCUCAUUAAUUCCCUUCUUCUUCCAUUAAUUAUUUAUGACUAAAUGAUGAAGUGCUGUCAUCAGAAAAGAUGUCCUUUAUUGGAAGCCAUGAUUGGGAGUCAUUUCAUUGUCUCUAUUUAUUCUCAAUUUAAGUAUCUGACUCACCAUUUAAGAUACAAAAGCUUAAAAAAGAAAAAAAGCAGGUUUUCUUUCCUUGGGAUAAGUUAUUGGGUAGUUCCAAGUGGGGUCCAGAAUCUUCUGUGAAAUUUUGGGAGCAAACUGGUCAUCAUGCAGCAAACAUGACGAAAAUACCCAUUAUGCUAAGUUCAUCCUUCACACUCUCUGAAUAUCAUUUAGUUCCAGCCCUCAGCACUCCCCCAGGAGGUCAGGUAACCAUUUGGAAUGGUUUCCUCUCACUAGAUGAUUAUGAAAUUCAUUAUUUGUAAUGUAUAUUUCUAGAUCAGGGGUUCUUAACUGGGAGUGUUAUUUCCCCCUUUUCCCAAGGGAAUAUUUGGCUCUUGCUGCACAUCUUACAAUGCACAUGGCAGCUCAAACAAAGAAUUAUCCAGCCCAAAAUGCCAAUGGUGUCAAGGUUGAAAAAGCCUUUUCUAGAUAGUCUCUCUUGCCUUCCUUGUUCAUAUUUGGUAUGGAAAGACUUUUUUACUCAUCAGCCUGCAGAGUUCCCAUAAAUCCUGAAAAAAAAAAAAUGACUCACCUAUAAAUAAAGGAGUGGGAAACUCUUUUGGUGGGAACUGAAUGUCACCACCCACAUUCUGUGAAGGAGAGGCAGAUCACUAUUCACUCUUCUAGGAAAAUGAAGUUGAAAUUUUCGCAAUUUACUUCUUUUUGGUUCACAUGCAAAUUAUAAUGCACUAAAAAUGGGAGACGCUGACAGGUUAAUUGCUCCCACUCCUCUGGUCCAGCUGCACAGAACUGAUGCUGAGGAAUCACAGAGCAAGAAAAAGUUGUCAGGGAGGGUCAGCCCACCCCAUGAAGCUGGGUGCAUCAGAGUCCCCUGAGUGUUGAGUUAGAACUACUGAUAAUCUAAGAUAUACUUCUCAUUUGCUGGUUUGAUUCCAGCUUUUUAAAGUAGUCUUUUAAGAAGAAGUUGGCACUGCUCUUACUCUUGUAUCUUUUCCCUUGUACUUCUUAAAAAUGAAAUAUAAAUGCAACAUAUGUUUCAGGCAAAUUGGCUCAGAACUCCGACAAGGUGAAAAGAACUCUCCUAGAGAGACAGUGCUCUAAAUAAAAACCAGCCCCAGCCCCCAAGCCUUCCUAGUUACACAAUUUUUGGUCCCCAAUCCAGGUUAAACCGCCACACAUUUAUCUUUGUCCUGAGUCCCUACCCCAUGACCAGAAACAUACUUAUCGUCCAGGCUACCAUUGUGUAUGUGUGUGUAUGUUUAGGCUAUUUAUAUAAUUCUGAUUAGAACAUUUUGUAUCCUUCUUGAGAUGAUGAGCUUUUCAAAUGCAAACUGUGAGUUUCUGAAUCAUCUCAAACUGCUUUUUCAAGCGCAGGGUUAUAUAUACAAUACUCAACACAUGUUAGUUGAUCAUUUUUAUUUCUGAGUGGAAGAGGAACUGGGAUGCUAUGUGCAUUAGCCAUACGCGUACUCUUCUUAAAGCACUUUUCUUCUCAUGAUUGAGUUUGAGCUAAUAUUGUAAUGAUAAGUUCUUGGAGCCAGAAAGAGAGGAGUCAGAGACGGCGGUCUGGGUUCCAGAUAGAUCCAGACAUGUGAACGGAAGGCACGAGAAGAUGAGCUGAGCAGAAGAGGAUUUACAGAAAGGAGCCAGGAGACCAGGAGACAAAACAGAGCAGAAGUUAAGUGGUAGGAAGAAGAGAAACCAUAAAACCUAUUCAAGCUUGCCAGCAGAAAAAGGAAUGUUCACAUGGCUUGGGGGUCUUCUGGAGACAAGAUGGCAGCAUAGAAGGACCUUGAGCUCACCUCCUCUCACAAGCUCACCUCCUCUCACGAGCACACCAAAGGAGCAACUGAUUCUAACAACCAUCAGUAGAAAAGACACAUGGCUUGGAGAUACAGGGUACUCUCAGGUGCUCUGGUCACUCUCCCGCUGUGGAGCCCAAAUCUAUGAUGUGUCUGAUACUAGGCUCUCAGUCAGUAUAGCUUGGAGGUAAAGCAGGAAGAGGUUAAGGAAAACAAUAGCCAUGAAACCAGACAGAACCAACUUCACUGGUUAUAUCACCUGCUAGUCAUGAUCUCAAACAAGUCACUUAAAUCUCCCCAAGCCCCAUGUCCUCAUCUUUAAAAUGGGGACUAUCAUAGUUAUGUAACAGGGUUGAGGUGACAUGUGUAACGAGCUGGGUGCAUUAGCUGAUGCACGUGGAGCACUUUAUCAUCACAUCACAGGGCACUCUAGGUUCUGGAGGCAAAAGGUAUCAGUAAUAACAGAAGCAAUAUUGGACUAUGAACUUUUUUUUUUCUUUUUUCUUUUUUUUUUGUCAUUUGUCUUUUUAGGGCCACACCCAUGGCACAUGGAGGUUCCCAGGCUAGGGGUCGAAUUGGAGCUAAACUAUAUUGAUUCUGAAAGAAAAAUAAAACUCUAAAUACAAAUAUACCUCACUCACCUCAUCAGUAGGAAAAUCUCUAGAUCUACACAUAAAAUCCAAAAUUUGAUAUUUUCUGUUGUCAUUACUGAAACAAAGAUGCAGAAGUGUGAGGAAGAGGGCUAAAUAUUUACAAGUUUCAAGGUGAUAAGUGCGUUUUUAUUUAUGGUAUCUGGAAAAUACAAUUCAGGUCACUGGAGAUGGUCAAUAUACGGCUACAACCCUCCUUUUCAGCUGUUCCCGCCUAACACCCAAGAGUAACAUUCUUAUUCUGAAACACAGCAGAAGUUGUCCAGGGAGCAGAUACAUUUUUCAAAAGCACACUUUGUAACGUGGCACUAAGAGGCACUUCGCACAACGUUCGCAGCUACCAUUCACCACUGUGUUUCCCUGCUGGGUUCACAGCAUGUGAAUGGUCAGUCCACGUUAUAAGGAUACCCAGGCUAACACCGGGAUUCAUGCUGGAGGAAGAGGGAGCCCAGAGAUGAAACCAGCAUGCGGGUUUCAUACCAGCCCUUCUACAAACCACAUAAUCCUAGACAAAUGCCUUAAUCUCGCCACCAUUCCUCUCCCCUCUGUGAAAGAAGGAAAACCACUCUACAUGGGUGCUGAAAUACCAGCUGUCAAAGUGAAGACAGUUCACUCUGUCGGUGGUUGUGGCCGCAUUAGCAUUCGCCACGGCUGGAGAACAAACAAGCAGUGGAUUCUGUGAAGGAAAUUUCCGCUGAGCCCUUGGUCGUCCAUGUCCCAGGAACACUAGAUACUUCCGCAGUGCAAAAAAUUGAAGAACAGAAUUUUUACCAACAUACCCUUGUGAUUUUAAUCAAACUACAUUACGAAGGCAAUUAUUAUCAGAGGAGAAUUAGAUUGGGAGAUAAAGUGAUUUUUUUCAGAUGGAAAUUUUAGGAAACAAAUCAAAAUUCCCAAUCACCUAGAGAACCCAGAGUCACCAAUAACAAAGGAAGAAGGUUAAACUCGUAACAUGUAGUUCUUCGAAGACCACUGAGCAAGAGCAAGGAAGUUUAAGGUGCUAACUCUAAGCCAUGAUUGCCUAUCACUGCUCUGUGCACUGAAGGGGUCCCAAAGAAAAGGCCCUGACCCCUGUCUUCAAGGAGCUGAGAAUUUUUUAAAAGGGGGCAAGAAAUCCAUCAACGAGCCAAGCGAAGACUGUACAUCGCAGACUCUUAGGCAUGACCAUUUCAGCCUUUCAGAAGAUACACUAGUGGUACAGGUUGAUGGGAAUCAUGUCUCACAGAGAAAAUGGAUUUUAAGUGACAAUGUGGCCACACAUUCGUCGAAUUAACAGAAAAUUUGUAAAGAGGUUAGUCAUGGCUGAAGUUCAACUGCUAACAGAAUCAUGGAGUAAUAAAGAGCUGUAGAUCUGGAGUUCCCGUCGUGGCGCAGUAGAAACGAAUCCGACCACAAACCAUGAGGUUGAGGGUUCGAUCCCUGGCCUUGCUCAUGGGUCGAGGAUCUGGCGUUGCUGUGAGCUGUGGUAUAGGCCACAGACACGGCUUGGAUUGGCUGUGGCUGUGGCUGUGGCAUAGGCCGGCGGCUACAGCUCUGAUUUGACCCCUAGCCUGGGAACC